rnacentral:misc_RNA from 1 species
CUUGUAUACUCAAAAAUGCUACAAAAUGUCCGUUACACAAGUGUUUUCACCAUAUGCUCAUCUUACUUUUUUUCUUUUAAAAGAUCUUUUUAAAAAAAUUGAAUUGGAAUAGAACGUUACAUCUCUCAUUAUGUGAUUGCGGGGUAUGGAGGGGGCCACAACUCUUCGUUUAGUCAUCGUCUGUUCCAAAAUAUCGAUCACCAAACUCACCCA